CUCAGCAGGAAUAAAAUAUAACCCAUGGGUUUUAAUUGAAUUUAUUUCCAUUCCAGGUCUCCGAUCCAUCACACAAAGUAAUGUUGGUUGGUUGAGUAAGGAAAAGCGAGGCUGGAUUUUAGUUAAGCAAGAAAUUGAGGAUGAGGAAGCCAGGCCUGCUGAGGAGGAAGAUGAGGAGGUGUGGGAGGAUGGAGACAGCGGCCACCAAAGGCUGGGGAAGGCACAGAUCCAGAACAGAAGAGUGAGGAGAUGGGGAUGCUCCCAGCCAUCACAGAGAUGUGGGAACAGCCCAGUUCCAGUGAGGAAUGUGCAAAGAACAUCCAGAACUGCCUCCUCACCCUCAUGGACAGCAGGAAUGCCUUCCAUAGCUCUUGUUUUUGAAUGGGAAUGGCUGUUGGGAGCUCUGGCAGGAGCACCUGGAGACCAGCAGUGGGAUUGCUUUGGCUGCUGCUGGAGGACAUGGGCUGUGACAAGGGAAUUGGCCCCAGAUGGAUCACAGCAGGACUAUGGAAAUUCCCUGCACUGGGAGGUUGUGGUGCUCUGGGUUAAAUUUUGGAUUCAUAAUGUUAAAGGUGGGGUGUGGAGGGGCUUCUCUCCUGUUCAUUAUUGUUGUUAUCAAUGUUCUUGCUCUCACUGUUACUAUGUGUUGUCAUUACUCUCAAAUGAUUGCAUUUGUCUUGGUUUCCAUUAUUAAACUGUUCUGAGCUGGAAUUUUGUCUCUGGUCUCUUCCCCAUCCCACGGGGGGUGAGGGAGCGGCUGCUGGUGCCCAGCUGGGGUCCAGCCAUGGCCCCGGGCACUUCUGGGGGCUCCGAACCCGAGGGACCGGAGCGGUUUUGGGCUCACAAAAAGAGACCCAGUGCUGCGUUUCGGGGGCUCAAAAGCAGGCGCAGAGCUUAAAAGCAGAGACUAAAUCCUGCAUUGUGGAGUCCUGAGAGCAGGCUGGUAUGGCCAGAGCUGGGACUCAGAAACAGUGACUAAAUCCUGUUCUCAGGGCUUGAGGAAGAGAGCGAGUCCUGUGUGUUCGGGCUCACAAAGAGAAACGGAAGUGCUGCGUU
rnacentral:lncRNA from 13 species